UCUCAUUAUAGCAAAAUUAUGCGUUGGAUUUAAGCUCCAUUAAUAGAAUCUCUUUU
rnacentral:tRNA from 1 species